CUGAAGUCCCCCAGCAAAAAAGGGUAAAAGGGGAACUAGGCUGGAACUUUGUUAGGAUUUACAAAGAGAACAGCAUGACCACUCCAGAAGGGUUUAAAAAUGCUUCACCACUAACUCCACCAAACCCUCCUGCUGUAAACAGCUCUAAUGCUAGUGACUACCCUCAGACACUUGCUGUCUAUCCCUUUAGGGUGUUCUUAAAAUAAACCGGAAAGAACGGAGGUAAAAAUACUGGAGUGUUUCCUCCACACUGGAAAGGAGAGGUGAGUCAUAUCAUUGUGAUUGGUGUUUUAAGUAUAUUUUUAUUGUUAUUUUAAAUGGCAUUCAAGUUUAGCUUCAAGUUCAACAGCAGUCUUAGCCUACUUCCUCCCACACAAAUACUCCUGCCAGUAAAUAGGCACUCUUAAAUAAAACAGUGCCUGCAAGAACCUUCUGACCCAUUGAAGUUAGUCUUGCCCUGUCUUCAGAGGUGUAUUCGUCCCUCUCUGGGUGUAGAGCGGUAUUUAAGGGUGACACUUGGGCACGCAGGAGGUGUGGCAGGGGGCGGGGAAUGCAGGGUCACUGUGGCUCAGGGGCGGGUGUGGGUGCAGGCGCGUUGGGAGGACUCUGGGCGCCCUAGGAAGUCCGAGGGCAGGCGGCAGGGCUGGCGGCCGGCAGUGCUGGCUCCCCACGUGAGGUGGUGACGGCGGGCCCUGCUCCCAGGCCCUGUGCUGCCGACCGCUGUCCUGGCUGCGCAGCUCCCCAGCAGGCGCCGGGCUCAGGUCGCGCCUUCAGUUAGCGCUCAGCCUGCGCGCCUGCGUCUCCUCCGCUUGCGGUUUCUGGUCGGAUCCCAGCUGGCCCAGACUUGCUCUGAAGUAGGAGGAACCGCUGUCGAGCGAAAAGUGCACACCGGGUGAUUGAUGAACUCUUAAUAGAACUAACCUCUCCCGCCCCCCACCAUAGACACACACAGAGAAAUCCUCCACCCCAGCCCCUUCUCCAGUCCUCCUCGCGGGCGAGAGGGGACGCGGCCGCCAGCCGGUAGGGUGAUUAACUCACCGUCUGUCUUUGCAAAAGUGUUCCAGGUGGAUCAUGAGCACCCGCCCACCCCGCCCGCAGCCUGGCAGCUCGAGGAGGCGCGGAGAGCGCGCAGCGAGCGCGCGCGUCACGUGGCGGCGCGGACGUUUGUGCCGCGCGCCCACCAGACCGCCCAGGAGGCGGCGGCUAUUGUUCCCGCCGGGGCCCGGGGCGCCCUGAAAUGGGGUCCACGCCAGCCCCCUCCCGAGCGUGUCCUCAGGUCUAAGGACGGGUGGGGCUUCUUUUGUGUGUUCUCUGGAAGGGCCUGGGAUGGCGUCGUUGCUGCCCCAAGGGGUAACCGAGGCGGGAUGAGGGAAGAUGGUACCAGCUCCCUAGAGCUCAGCUCACCAGACCUACUCUUCCGCCCGGCCCUUGCAGAGGAGGUGGGGAGGGGUAUGGUAUUUGUAGGGCAGCGCUGUGAACAAUGGAACCAUCAAAAAGGCCUUCUCCCAGCCGCCUCACCAACCACGGACAUUCCUGGCCCAACAAGCCCUCCUGGCCUGGUUUUGAGCCCUGCUUCCCAGAUCUGGGGACCCUUCACCUGCCUCUACUACUGCAAAUGA
rnacentral:lncRNA from 1 species